UACAGAGGUCUCAAGCGUUGUUCGGAUUCAUUGGGCGUAAAGGGCGCGUAGGCGGCGGGGUAAGUCGGGUGUGAAAUCUCAGAGCUCAACUCUGAAAUGGCACUUGAUACUGCUCUGCUAGAGGACUGGAGAGGAGAUUGGAACUCACGGUGUAGCAGUGAAAUGCGUAGAUAUCGUGAGGAAGACCGGUGGCGAAGGCGGAUCUCUGGACAGUUCCUGACGCUGAGGCGCGAAGGCCAGGGGAGCAAACGGG
rnacentral:rRNA from 1 species